rnacentral:rRNA from 1 species
CCAAUAGCGUAUAUUAAAGUUGUUGCAGUUAAAAAGCUCGUAGUUGAAUUUCGGGAUCAAUUUAUUGGUCGUACCUUUGGUACGUACUGAUUUUAUUGGUUUCUCCCUUCUGACGAACUAUGAUGUCAUUAAUUUGGUGUCAUGGGGAAUCAGGACUGUUACUUUGAAAAAAUUAGAGUGUUUAAAGCAGGCUCACGCUUGAAUACAUUAGCAUGGAAUAAUGAAAUAGGACGGUUAAUUCUAUUUUGUUGGUUUCUAGGAUUGACGUAAUGAUUAAUAGGGAGAGUUGGGGGCAUUAGUAUUCAAUUGUCAGAGGUGAAAUUCUUGGAUUUAUUGAAGACUAACUACUGCGAAAGCAUUUGCCAAGGAUGUUUUCAUUAAUCAAGAACGAAAGUUAGGGGAUCGAAGACGAUCAGAUACCGUCGUAGUCUUAACCAUAAACUAUGCCGACUAGGGAUCGGAUGAUGUUGAUUUUUUAAUGACUCAUUCGGCGCCUUACG